GACUUAGCGACUGAACAACGACAAAAUGGGUAGAAUGCCAGACCUAUAUCUGGGUUCUUAUCUCCCUCAGCUUACCCCUUCCCCACCAGUUUUAAAAGGAAAGGGUUUCUGCAAUCACUAGGCCAUUGUGGGCAGGUGGCCUUACACCAUGGCCAUCCUCCACGCCUGCGUCAGGAUGGGUCUCCUGGUCUCAGUCCUCUGCAGGCAAACAUAACUGCCUGCUGUUGUUUCCUGGGGUGAAAAUUGCUGGUAGGAGGGUGACUUCCUGGCCUGCCAAGUUUUCGUAGUAGAACUGUCACCUAGAUCUCCAGCAGCUCAUGGAGUCUGGAAUGAAAUCAGUCCUCCAAGUAAUAACCAAGUGGAAGUGGACUCAAAAUGCUGAGUGUCUGUGUGACUUCGGGGGACUGUUUCUCUGUUUUCCAAAGCAGCUCUCCUGCCAGCUCCUGCCCGGCAGCAAAGAGUGAAAAUGGAUGGAAUACGUGGAAUACAUUCUUAAUACCCUGAAAGAGGAAAUCCUGCAGGAGAUACACCUGGAAAAGGAACUCCCACUAGGUGAGCGGGCUUCCCAAGUGGACUCGUGGUAAAGAACCUGCCUGCAAAUGUAGGAGACAUAAGGAACCAGGGUUCAAUUCCUGGGUCGGGAAGAUCCCUGGAGGAGGGCAUGGAAACCCACUUCAGU
rnacentral:lncRNA from 1 species